rnacentral:lncRNA from 13 species
GCACUUUUAAAUUGAGAGGAAUAUAUUAAAUAAAUCAUCUUGAAUGAUGCUAUUUAUAACUCUGUAACAUAAUUCUCAAAGAUGGAGAGAAGGUAGACUUGAGUUCAAUUGAACUCUAAAGUCUUAAUAAGAAAGUGGUGGAAAGGCAAUGAGUAAAUAGCCAAGAAAGACUUAGUAACAUGCUUAUAAUAGCAUUACACAUACAAUCAGUUUCUCUGUUUAGAAUGCUUUGAGAAUUAGCCUAUAGUUUGUUUUUGAUAACCAUAGCAGCAAUAAUUUGGCAAACAUUUGUAGACAAAAAAUAUGCCUUUGGGGCAAGCUUUAGGAUUAAAGCAGGAGAUUAUGAAACUGUGGUGAAGCCCAAGAACUAGGAGGGCUUUUUUGAGAGGACAAAUCCACGCUUAAGUGUCAAACUCCAGCCCAGGGUCCUGGCUCCAGACGCAGAAGCAGACUCAUCUCCUUGUGGAUCCACUGGGCAUCUUGAAAUGACACUGUAAGUCUGCUCCAGCCCCUCUCAGCUGCAGUCUAAAAGCAGUCCUAAUGCCCAUGGUACCCAGGCCUAUUUGUGACCUCAGAGGCAGGUAGCAGACCACAGGCUCUGAAGUGGUACCAAUGACUUGAUUCUGGCCCAUCUCAGAUGCAGCCUUGACUCACCCAGUGACCAAGUAGGAGCUCUUCCAGUGACCAAGAGGAAGUCUCACAUAACAGUUCACCUGAAAAGAUUCCUGGCAGAUAAUAUCAUGCGUUGUCGAAGACCUAUUUUUUAUACACACACACACACACACACACAUAUUCAGAAGUGUAUGUGUCAGUGUGUCUGUGUGUACUUCUGAUGGAGCAUUUUCAUACACCCAUGGGAGAAGAGACUAGAGCUUCUGACAACCACAAAAGGACAUUACUGAAGUAAGCAUCAGGUAAGGCAGUUUCUAAUUACAGUAAACACACCCUAAAUCUCCUCCUGCUGUGCACUGGGAAAGACAUAUGGAAAAUGCUGAGCAUUGUCUUGCACUCUAACAGUUUACAAUUUAAUUGUUGAGAUGGAUUGUUCACAUAUGUAAAAGAAGC